rnacentral:lncRNA from 1 species
UGAGAAUCAAAACCUUAACAUUGUUGAGCUACAAAAUUUUCCCUAGACUGCCUAACUCUGGAAAUCUACAGUUGAUAAGCCUGGAAAUGCGGAUGGUUCCCCACAGAUGAAGAGACUGUCUGAGAUUGAAGCCAAUACAGAAGAAAGCAGACAUACAGGGGGAAAAUGACAAAUUGAAGAUGUGCUUUGAACACUGAAAUCCAGCUUUAUCAGGUGUCACUAAAGCCAGUUCUACCCGGAACUACUUUUUUCUUGCACUCAGAGUUAACUACUAUUCUGAAUUUUGUUAUUAUUUCCUUCGUUUUCAUUCUAGAUUCACUUCUA